GCCAGGCAGGCCCCAUCUCCACGCGGCCCCACCUGUCGGCGGGCAGGCGUUGACCCCGCCUGCCUAGCUGGAUAAGUGAGGGGCCCCACAGCCCGUGGGACCCGCACGUCAGCGACCCCACGCCCGGCCCCGCCACUGUCCACGUGGAUAAGUGGAAGCGUACUUCGCAGAAGUACGUUUUCGCCUUCAGAAAGCGUAUUUCUCUUCUGCUCCAGUCGUAAGUGCGCUUUCAUAGUUUGAAAACUAUUUUCUUCUUAGGCGCCUUCUGUUUUCUCACUCAGGGGCCUGUUUGUAGAGAUUCUUUUACAAAUCGGUCCCUGAACUUCGUCGGGCUAUAUCUUUUUACUCCCAACUCCAAAUGAGGUGAUUCCAAAGCCCAUUUCUUUGUCUCGUCGAGCCCGUUCUGUUGGUUUCAUUUUCACUAUGGUUUGACACUGUGAAAAUGACCAUUUUUUCCCUUGCCCGUAAACAGCCCCUCCGAGAGAGAACUGUUUCCGGCAAAUCUUUCCGCGAGCUUCUCGCGCUUCUUCCCUGUGUUUUCUUCAUCCCCAGGCAAGCCACAAUACCCACUUGCAUGAUAGUCAUGCAGUAGCCAUGGUUUUCAACUUGAAUAUUUAUUAAAUGAUUGGUUGUUUAAAAUAUGGUUAUCGUUGUUUUGGUAAUGCUUCUGGGUUAGUGCUUACUUGCUUGAUAUGUUGUUAUGCACCUGGUUAUCAUGCCCUGCUAGUUGCUAGUAUUACUUUCAUAUUUCCAUGCUUGAUAGUAGUACAUGUUGGGUUGGUCAUGUUCUUCGGUGCAUGAUUAACGUCGGUUAUCGAGUACUGUUAAUAUGCGUUCUUCCUUUGCUGUUAGUUGGUUAAGUGUUACUCGGUAAUGUUAUUGAUGAGUUCUUGCAUGGUAUUUAUGGUUGAUGCUAGUGGUCAUGUUUUACUAUGAGUAGUGUUGCACUUGUAAUAGUUAUGCUCGUCAUUAUGCCAUGUUCAGUUGGAGAUUAUUCAUAGUUGAUAUGGUGGAUCGUUAUGUUGUACCCUCAUGCUUAUGUUGAUCUCAUGCUCAUGCUUUGUAUAUGCAUCAUGUUAUUUUAUCAUGGCUCAGCAUAUUGCAUUCAAGUUUAACCAGAUUAAAUUCAACUUGAACAACUGUUGGCUGAGUCAUGGUGCCACCAUAUCGAAACUGACCAGUGCAACCACGCUUACCUUAUGGGAAGGUCCUAACUGGGUCUAUUGUCGUGCCUCUCGCCGGUGCCUCUAACGAGGGAAGGUUAUGGGCGCGCGCUACCCUGAUCAGGUAGGCGGACAUAACCUUGUGUGCCCGUUGUUGUUAUUAUGGAUCCGGUCCCCGUGAGGGACGUUUUGGCCACGACAGUGGUCGUUGUGUCUUUGGUAGAUACGGGGCCACCCAGGACUAGCCCAGUUGGGAGUGGGUCGGAGUGGCCGGGAGAGUGUCAUGGCAAUAGAUCGGUUUUGUCGGAACGCCGUUGGUCCACCCGAAUGGGAGUGCGAGGCCAGGGGUUCCGUGGUGUGGGUACAGUGUACUAACCUCUGCAGAGUGUAUAUUAAAUCUAUCGAUAGCCGCGCCCGCGGAUAAGGGCCCAGUUCGUGUCGGUCACACCGUGAGUCAACAGUAUUAAUAAUAACUUGAUUAAUGACAACCCCGGUUUGAUGAUGAGAUAACUUGGUUGUGAUCGCCGGAAAGAUCACCGUUUGAUACCAAGUGUUGGUCAUGGUUGUGAUCGCCGAAAUGAUCACCGUGGUAUCGAGGAUACCGAGUUGUUGGAUAUUCGUGAUGUUGUGCGAGAAUCAUGGGUAAAGAUCAAGCUCCUUGUGGUCAUUUAAUGAUUACUACGGUAUUGUUUAUACCAAGCUUGAUUUGAUCCUGAGAUGAUCGUGUGAUGUCCGAGGUUGGUAAGUGAUGCAUGUGAUGGUUACGUAGUAACCCGAGCAGAAUAAAUAGUGCAUAUAAUGUCUUCAUGUUGCAUGCUAGUAUUGUCGAAUUCAUAUGUUCAUGCUAUGCUCAUGUUGUUCUAGCUGUAUCAUGUUCAUGUUGCGCAAGUCAUGUUGUUAUGAGGAUCUCAUGUUAAUUCCUGCUUAACAUGUAAAUGCCAUGCUGAUGUUUGUCUUGAAUGCUUCUGGUUGAUGUGAGCUUGCAAGUACAUUCAAUGUACUGACCUGGCGUGUCAUGCCAGCUUGCAGGUCGUGCCUAGAUUGCUUGCUUGUUUGGUGUUGUUCCUGUGUUCACGAGCUAGGAUAAGCUUUCCAGUCAGAGUCCCUGUGGAGUGGAGUUCACCACCGUCGUCGUUGUUCCGCUGCCAGUAGUUGUUCCGCUGCCUCAAGUUGCUAUGCUGCUUGCAUAGAGCAACUGAGGAUGGCGUAGUGUCGCCGUGCCGAUGUUAUUCAUUGUAAUAUCGGAGACCUUGUAUUCAUAUCCGUGUAUUAAUAGAAAUCUGGUUUGUUCUAUGCUAAGCAGUGCCGUAUUCCAGAAGACUUCACCUCGAUCUCUAGGCUGGAAUACGGGGCGUUGCGGUUUU
rnacentral:lncRNA from 1 species